UAUGUAAUAGUGUAAGAUGCACAUCAAGUUUUGAGUUUGAGGGUUAAGGUUUAAUUCUUUGUUACAUAG
rnacentral:tRNA from 2 species